rnacentral:rRNA from 1 species
AACGCGCCCUAUCUCAUCUGAUCUCGGAAGCUAAG